UACGUAGGGUGCAAGCGUUGUCCGGAAUUAUUGGGCGUAAAGAGCUCGUAGGCGGUCUGUCGCGUCUGCUGUGAAAACUCAGGGCUUAACCCUGAGCUUGCAGUGGGUACGGGCAGACUAGAGUGCGGUAGGGGAGACUGGAAUUCCUGGUGUAGCGGUGAAAUGCGCAGAUAUCAGGAGGAACACCGGUGGCGAAGGCGGGUCUCUGGGCCGCAACUGACGCUGAGGAGCGAAAGCAUGGGGAGCGAACAGG
rnacentral:rRNA from 1 species